GGCGAGAUGGCCGAGCGGUCCAAGGCGCCAGACCAAGGCGAGUUACGCAUUCUUCCAGAAUUGUAACGGUCAAUUAUCUGGUCCGAAAGGGCGUGGGUUCGAAUCCCACUCUCGUCA